rnacentral:snoRNA from 1 species
CUGCUCAUCAAAAACAUGAUUAAGAAAAUGAUGAUAUGCGCUGGCUGCAAACAGCAGCCUCCUCAAUAGUACAUGCAACCUAUUGCCUGAAUGGACUGCCCUAAGAGACCCUAGAGACCAUG